GCGCCUGUAGCUCAGCUGGAUAGAGCGCCGGACUACGAAUCCGUAGGUCGGGAGUUCGAAUCUCUCCAGGCGCGCCA
rnacentral:tRNA from 4 species